ACUGCCAAACUGAUCUACAUUUAUGCCAACCAUUUUGUUGCAUGAUUUUACUAUUUCAAUGCUGGUAUGCAGUAUGAUCUAUGAGUAGAGCUUAGUAGAUAGCCUCUUAAUGUUUGUGAUAGUGUAUUUCAGAUAGCCUUUUUGUAGAAGGAUAGAACUGAUAUCUAAGCAAAUUGUGACCCAAGCAGGAGAUAGCCAGUGAUUACUGCCAAACUGAUCUACAUUUAUGCCAACCAUUUUGUUGCAUGAUUUUACUAUUUCAAUGCUGGUAUGCAGUAUGAUCUAUGAGUAGAGCUUAGUAGAUAGCCUCUUAAUGUUUGUGAUAGUGUAUUUCAGAGAGCCUUUUUGUAGAAGGAUAGAACUGAUAUCUAAGCAAAUCAUAUGUUUUUAGAGUCCAGUGAAGAGUGCUUUUGUUCCACACUUGCUGUUGGUUCCUGUAGAUUUCCCUGCCGGGCAAUGGUCAUGUUUUCACCACAAAGCUGAGCUUGUAGGCGUGAUAUGUUACUGCCCUAGGAAAGCUGCAGGGGUUACAAACGCGUCAUUCAGCGAACUUCUCUUCAGACAUCUGACUUUCUUAAAGAUGAUUGCUUGAAGAUAUAAUGCACUCUAGGAUUUUUGUGUCGACUAUUGAAUAUUGAUUACUCCAGGCCACAGUCCAUUCAGGUGCCAUACUUCAACAUUGCCUACCGGGAGAUUGGAAGAAUAAUCGUGCAGAUUUCCCUGCUGAAAGAUUUCUGGCCUCGAGGAUACCAAUGUGUUGCUUGCAUCUAGGAGUACAGGGUUCAAACAACUCGACAACAGCCAUAUGAGGUAGACAUUGUUGUCGACAACCAAGAGGCAUGCAACCCUCUAUCCAUGUCCGAACAUAGGCCAAGUUAAUAACAUCAUUUGCCUUCACACUGCACUUCCGAAUUGUAUUUCUACAUUGUUUCUAGAUACCCUACUUCCAUGAAAGGGUUGCAGCCUUGAUUUGAAUAGAAGAGCUCAUGCCGGAGACCAAAGGAAAAAAGCACAUAUCAGGCAUCCACAGAGGAGUCGAUCCAGUUGAAACUUAGACAUCGAAACCAUACAAGCCAUCUGCCUAUCAUAAGGAAGGACACACAAAAGGAAGGAGAGCGUCUUCUCCACUAGAUAGAUGUCAGCUUCCCAAACGGUGCCAAAGCCAAGCCUUCCACAAGGAGCUCACCUGUGGUGUUGUUCCUUACCAUAAUAGACGAAUGCAUGGAAAACAUCGUCCUAUCCCCUGAUUGCAAGGACAACUUCGACAAGUACCGAUGGUUUUACAAGUAGAAAGAAUCAAAUAAUUGUCUUGGCAUGGUGUUCUAAUUAAUGUGUUUUUAGGCUAUGGUUAUUAUCAAAUGUGUGUCCUGUUUUAUAUUUAAUUGUAUUGUUCCAUUUAUGUUUAAUGGUGUACUGAAAAUUAUGACGAGAUACAACACAUCAGCUAAUCUGGACAUUAUGUACUGCAUGCAUCUACAUUUCUGCUCUAUAGAUGGUUUCUCUCAUGGCCCGUUUGAAUGUUAGUGAAAGUGACAAACUAGCAUUUUUGUAGAACUAGGCAAUGCACUCUUGAAAAAAGACCCAUCUUAUAAAAGAACAUCGUUUAUACUUUAAUUUGAAGUUACAUCUCAGGCGCG